GACGAACGCUGGCGGCGUGCUUAACACAUGCAAGUCGAACGGAAAGGCCCUGCUUUUGUGGGGUGCUCGAGUGGCGAACGGGUGAGUAACACGUGAGUAACCUGCCCUUGACUUUGGGAUAACUUCAGGAAACUGGGGCUAAUACCGGAUAGGAGCUCCUGCUGCAUGGUGGGGGUUGGAAAUUUUCGGCGGUUGGGGAUGGACUCGCGGCUUAUCAGCUUGUUGGUGGGGUAGUGGCUUACCAAGGCUUUGACGGGUAGCCGGCCUGAGAGGGUGACCGGCCACAUUGGGACUGAGAUACGGCCCAGACUCCUACGGGAGGCAGCAGUGGGGAAUAUUGCCCAAUGGGAGGAAGCCUGAUGCAGAAACGCCGCGUGCGGGAUGACGGCCUUCGGGUUGUAAACCGCUUUCGCCUGUGACGAAGCGUGAGUGACGGUAAUGGGUAAAGAAGCACCGGCUAACUACGUG
rnacentral:rRNA from 1 species